rnacentral:rRNA from 1 species
UGGGGAAUAUUGCACAAUGGGCGAAAGCCUGAUGCAGCAACGCCGCGUGAGUGAUGAAGGCCUUCGGGUUGUAAAGCUCUGUCUUUUGGGACGAUAAUGACGGUACCAAAGGAGGAAGCCACGGCUAACUACGUGCCAGCAGCCGCGGUAAUACGUAGGUGGCAAGCGUUGUCCGGAUUUACUGGGCGUAAAGGAUGCGUAGGCGGAUUUUUAAGUGAGAUGUGAAAACCCUAAGCUUAACUUGGGGACUGCAUUUCAUACUGGAAAUCUAGAGUGCGGGAGAGGAGAAUGGAAUUCCUAGUGUAGCGGUGAAAUGCGUAGAGAUUAGGAAGAACACCAGUGGCGAAGGCGAUUCUCUGGACCGUAACUGACGCUGAGGCAUGAAAGCGUGGGUAGCAAACAGGAUUAGAUACCCUGGUAGUCCACGCCGUAAACGAUGAGUACUAGGUGUAGGAGGUAUCGACCCCUUCUGUGCCGCAGUUAACACAAUAAGUACUCCGCCUGGGAAGUACGAUCGCAAGAUUAAAACUUAAAGGAAUUGGCGGGGGUCAUAGCUGUUUCCU